UUUUAUUAGAAUGCAAAUCCAAAGCGUGGUUUGUUGUAUUGUUGUGCCAGCAAACACCCUCGUCUCCACACCAUAAAAAGAGGAGAGUUUCCUGGUUUUUGUCUUCCUCUAGUUGCACAAAUCCCACCUUUUCUGUCUCAAUUUCCUCUCUUUUUUUUCUUAGUUUUUCAGAAGAAAUUCAUCUUGCUGCAGCUAGCUAGAGAGCCGCUGCAACAAGUUGAGUGAAAGAAACAAACAAGAGUUGUUUGUAAAUUAAGUAAGGGAAUAUUUUUGAAUAGAUUCUUCUUCCCUUUUCUUUGGCUAACUUCAAUGUCAAACAUCACGAGUUGUGAUAGUGGGAGCUUCUCUACAGAAAAUACCAGAGAAGAUGCAGCAGUUAAGCAGCAACCCGAGAUGCUCGCUCAGUUCCACAGUCCACAUUCUCUUACUUCAACCACAACAACAAAUAACAGCAAUGCUUCCAACACAAAUUCUCAACCACCUGCACCUGUUAAGAAGAAAAGGAGCCUACCAGGAAAUCCAGAUCCGAGUGCUGAAGUAAUAGCUUUAUCACCAAACACACUAAUGGCAACAAACCGGUUCAUAUGUGAAAUCUGCAACAAAGGGUUUCAAAGAGAUCAAAACCUUCAGUUGCACCGGCGAGGCCACAACUUGCCAUGGAAGCUUAAGCAGAGAACAAGCACGGAGGUUCGAAAGAGGGUUUAUGUUUGUCCAGAGCCUUCGUGUGUCCACCACAAUCCUGCAAGAGCACUGGGUGACCUCACCGGCAUUAAAAAGCACUUCUGCAGAAAGCACGGCGAGAAGAAGUGGAAAUGUGAUAAGUGCUCAAAGAAAUACGCUGUUCAGUCUGACUGGAAAGCCCACUCAAAAAUCUGUGGUACAAGGGAAUACAAAUGUGACUGUGGUACCAUUUUUUCAAGAAGAGACAGUUUCAUUACACACAGAGCUUUCUGUGACGCACUAGCUGAAGAGAACAACAAAGCCAACGAAGGACAAUUACCAAAGAUAGGUCCAAACUUGCAAUCUCAACAGAUUCCAAACCUUGUUUCCUCGUUACCAAUCAACACCAACGUUGUUCCCAACCCACAACAAAUCGGUGGCACCUCGGAGUUCAACCAUGCUGAAAACAAGCACCCACUGUCACUCCCACACGAGCUGAUGCCAAUGCCUGCACCAAAACCCUUCAACUCCAACACUACCAUGGCAGGAACAGUGUUCUCCAGAAGCCUCUCAUCAACCUCUUCACCGUCUCUCCAACUGAGUUCAAACAUAUUCGAGGAAAACGGGCUCCACCUGGCUGCAGGGUCGCAACACAUGUCAGCCACCGCACUGCUGCAAAAAGCUGCCCAAAUGGGAGCAACGGUGACGGAUAAAAAUUUUACCACAAACAUGGCACCGCCGUCGUUUGGGGUGCUGCAACAGCAUCCGAAUGGACAAUCCUUCAUGAACCAGUACAUGCACAGUGGCCAACAGGAUCCCAACGUUAGCAUCUCCGCUCAGUAUAACGGUUUCGGCGCAAAUGGGAUGAGUGGAGGGAGCGUUGGAAUGAACGGUGUGGACAUGUUCAACGCUAUCUUGGACCAAAGCAAGGCUUUAUCAAAGAUCAUAGAGCAAAGCAACAGAAGCAGUAAUGGAGGUGCAACAAAUGGAGGUUCAAGUGCUGCUAUUAACGUCGGUGGAAGUAAAGGAAGUGAGGAUGUGAUGACUUUGGACUUUUUGGGAAUAGGAGGUGGCGGUGGCGGCGGCGGCGGUGGCGGUGCGCAUGGAAACUUUUAUGGUGGUGGUCAGCAAGCAGAAAACGGUGCGCCGGAUGAGGUUUGGAGAAACUGGUCAAGUAAGAACGCAGGGUUUGAAUCAUUUUCAGCAACAAGUAGCAUUUGAAAGGGUGCAACAAAAUGAAACGUGUGUCUUUCUAAAGAGGAAGAUGCAUUGAAUCGUGGACAGUGGAUAAAAUUUGUGCUCAAAUCUUAAAAUUAAGGAUAAUGUCAAUUUCUGAAACACUUUUAUAAUACAUUUUUUAAUCUCUCUUUUAUCACAGUACUUAUAUUAUUU